rnacentral:rRNA from 1 species
UACAGAGGGGGCUAGCGUUGUUCGGAAUUACUGGGCGUAAAGGGUGCGUAGGCGGGUCUUUAAGUCAGGGGUGAAAUCCUGGAGCUCAACUCCAGAACUGCCUUUGAUACUGAAGAUCUUGAGUUCGGGAGAGGUGAGUGGAACUGCGAGUGUAGAGGUGAAAUUCGUAGAUAUUCGCAAGAACACCAGUGGCGAAGGCGGCUCACUGGCCCGAUACUGACGCUGAGGCACGAAAGCGUGGGGAGCAAACAGG